rnacentral:miRNA from 1 species
ACACCGCACUGGCAGGGAGCA